rnacentral:rRNA from 1 species
UACAGAGGAGCCAAGCGUUGUCCGGAUUGACUGGGCGUAAAGCGCACGCAGGCGGACGCGCGCGUGGGGUGUGAAAUCUGGCCGCUUAACGGCCAGGCGCCAUCCCAUACGGCGCGGCUGGAGCUAUGCAGAGGUCGGUGGAAUUGCCGGUGUAGUGGUGAAAUGCGUAGAUAUCGGGAGGAACACCAGUGGCGAAGGCGACUUCCUGGCCUGUUCUUGACGCUGAGGCGCGAAAGCUAGGGGAGCAAACGGG